rnacentral:snoRNA from 1 species
UGCACUUAUGUUUUAUUUUUUUAACUUGUGGACAAACACUUAUAGAUAGAUGCAAAAAAAAAAUCCUCUUUUGCAUCUGAGAACUUACUGUUCUGUAUGAGUUUUGAUACAUAUAAGAAAGGCUAUU